rnacentral:lncRNA from 1 species
UGUCACCCAAGAGGUAGAGAAGAAAAAAUAGCAAUUGAUAUAUAUAGAGAGAGCACAUGUAUGCACUUGGGAGAAGGGCAGAGAGAGAAUCCGAAGCAGACUCCGUACUGUGAGCGCAGAGCCUGAUAACAGGGCUCGAACUCACGAACCCUGGAGAUCAUGGCCUGAGCUGAAAUCAAGCAUGGGAUGGUUGAUUUCACCCAGGUGCCCCACCUCCUUACUGUUCUAUGUUGCAGAUUAUUUUCUUCCAGUCUGUCACCUCUUUUAACUUAGUGUGUGGCCUUUUGUUGUGCAUAAAAGUUUAGU